GUUGUGGUUAAUGAUGUUGCUCUUUUUCCCCGUCUUAUCGACCGUGGUGAUUCCUCUUGAAAAUAAGCCAAAUCCUCUGAAACCACCAC
rnacentral:snoRNA from 1 species